rnacentral:rRNA from 1 species
CCCGUGAAGAAGCGGGGAUAAACUUAUAAGACGAGAAGACCCUAUGGAGCUUUAAACUAAACUACACUUGCUUUUAUAUAUAAACAUUUUCAGAAUGAUUAAUACUUAUCUUAGCUUCAUGAUUUUUAGUUUUAGGUUGGGGUGACCGCGGAGUAAAAUAAAACCUCCACAUUGAAAGGGAUUUUGAACCCUGAGCAAUGAGUCACGACUCUAUGCACCAAUAAAUUGACAUCAAUUGACCCAAUACUUUUGAUCAAUGAACCAAGUUACCCUAGGGAUAACAGCGCAAUCCGCCUCAAGAGCUCCUAUCGACAGGCGGGUUUACGACCUCGAUGU